CAGCAGCCGCGGGAAUACAGAGGGUGCGAGCGUUAAUCGGAUUUACUGGGCGUAAAGCGUGCGUAGGCGGCUUCUUAAGUCGGAUGUGAAAUCCCUGAGCUUAACUUAGGAAUUGCAUUCGAUACUGGGAAGCUAGAGUAUGGGAGAGGAUGGUAGAAUUCCAGGUGUAGCGGUGAAAUGCGUAGAGAUCUGGAGGAAUACCGAUGGCGAAGGCAGCCAUCUGGCCUAAUACUGACGCUGAGGUACGAAAGCAUGGGGAGCAAACAGGAUUAGAUACCCCUGUGUCCCUGUCUCUUAUACA
rnacentral:rRNA from 1 species